CCUGCUGCUCUUGUGACCUCAGAGCUCUCCACUAGAGGCCCUCUCCAUUCCUUCACUGACCACAUUACUUGGCAGAUACCAUUGUCCUGCUACACCACUCAGUUGAUCAGAAGAUGCUCUCCCCCAGGAUCUGCUUCCCCACGUAUGAUCCACUCAGAUUCAUUGGGAAUCCUUUGGACAUCACUGUGGUUGCACAGACUCUGCGCUCUACAGAAACCUGACCUCUUCAAGACAGUAAGGAGGAGAAAGAAGCACAGGGGCUGAGGAGGAAAGCUGAGACCAUGUCAUUGUGAAAAUUCAAAGCCAGAGGGCUGUCUACAGAUGCCAGAAAGAAAAGGAUAAAUCUGCACAGCUGCACUCCUCAUCCCAGAAGAUCCUCUCAACACCUGUGAUGGAUGGCUGGGACCUUAGAAAGCACCACACUUCCUAUGUGACCGCAGGGAAGAGAAACAGGAGAAAGAUACAAUGUAUCUUAGAGGAUCUGCUGUAUCUACGUGAGCAUGCCCCAUGAGGUCCAUGAACAGAAGAGCUGCUGGAGAGUAGUUCAAGGAUUUCAUGAAGCCCAGGCUGACUUCAAGGUCACUGUACAGCUGAGGAUGGCUGAACUCUGCCCGUCAAAUGCUGCAAUUACAGGCAUGCAUCACGGUUUUCUAAAUUUAACUUACUAUUAGGAAGUGGGAUGCUCAUUUUGUUAUCAUUAAGACUAUUCUUGAAUAUUUUACCUUUUUCUGUUUCAAUCAAAUAUUUCACAACAAAAUGAAAAAAU